GAUGAACGCUGGCGGCGUGCCUAAUACAUGCAAGUCGAGCGAACAGACGAGGAGCUUGCUCCUCUGACGUUAGCGGCGGACGGGUGAGUAACACGUGGAUAACCUACCUAUAAGACUGGGAUAACUUCGGGAAACCAGAGCUAAUACCGGAUAAUAUAUUGAACCGCAUGGUUCAAUAGUGAAAGACGGUUUUGCUGUCACUUAUAGAUGGAUCCGCGCCGCAUUAGCUAGUUGGUAAGGUAACGGCUUACCAAGGCAACGAUGCGUAGCCGACCUGAGAGGGUGAUCGGCCACACUGGAACUGAGACACGGUCCAGACUCCUACGGGAGGCAGCAGUAGGGAAUCUUCCGCAAUGGGCGAAAGCCUGACGGAGCAACGCCGCGUGAGUGAUGAAGGUCUUCGGAUCGUAAAACUCUGUUAUUAGGGAAGAACAAAUGUGUAAGUAACUAUGCACGUCUUGACGGUACCUAAUCAGAAAGCCACGGCUAACUACGUG
rnacentral:rRNA from 1 species